rnacentral:rRNA from 1 species
GGGUUGUGAGGUUAAGCGACUAAGCGUACACGGUGGAUGCCCUGGCAGUCAGAGGCGAUGAAGGGCGUGCUAAUCUGCGAUAAGCGCCGGUAAGGUGAUAUGAACCGUUAUAACCGGCGAUUUCCGAAUGGGGAAACCCAGUGUGACUCGUCACACUAUCAUUAACUGAAUCCAUAGGUUAAUGAGGCGAACCGGGGGAACUGAAACAUCUAAGUACCCCGAGGAAAAGAAAUCAACCGAGAUUCCCCCAGUAGCGGCGAGCGAACGGGGAGGAGCCCAGAGCCUGAAUCAGCAUGUGUGUUAGUGGAAGCGUCUGGAAAGGCGCGCGAUACAGGGUGACAGCCCCGUACACAAAAGCGCAUGUGCUGUGAGCUCGAUGAGUAGGGCGGGACACGUGGUAUCCUGUCUGAAUAUGGGGGGACCAUCCUCCAAGGCUAAAUACUCCUGACUGACCGAUAGUGAACCAGUACCGUGAGGGAAAGGCGAAAAGAACCCCGGCGAGGGGAGUGAAAAAGAACCUGAAACCGUGUACGUACAAGCAGUGGGAGCCCCACCACUAAGCCAGUGGUGAACUCCACAUACGCAUCCUUUGCUGAGGAUGCGGUUAACGGAGCGAAAGCGACGUUCAACCGCAAAAGAAGCAGAGGGGGCUUAGUGGUGGGGUGACUGCGUACCUUUUGUAUAAUGGGUCAGCGACUUAUAUUCUGUAGCAAGGUUAACCGAAUAGGGGAGCCGGAGGGAAACCGAGUCUUAACCGGGCGUUAAGUUGCAGGGUAUAGACCCGAAACC